ACUAACUUGUAACCAGGGAUUCAGGGGACCUCUAGAAAUCUCUAACUCAGUGAUCAUGACUGAGAAUAAACAACCACUUUGUAUAGAAUAUAAAUUCUAACAGAGUUAGAAUUUCUCUUGGUGAAAUGGAAAACACUAAAUGUAUUUUAAAGUACAUUUUAUUGUUGUUCCUGUAGAAUGGCUCCAUUAUUUCACGAACUCCCUAUGGACUCCAAAAGAUACUCCAGAGAAGUGAAUUGUAUAUUUCUAAUAGAGAUCUAGAAUUUUGAUGCCAGAAAAAGCAAGAAUACAGGAACCAACUUCUAAAAAUUCCAGAGAGAAUCUUUGCAUACAAUCUAGAAGACUGAGGACAGAGGGGAGAGGGAUGUCAGAAAGAAAUAAAGUCAGAAGAAAGAAGGAAGUUGGGAAGAUGGGGUAGAAGAAAAUAUCUAUGAAAACUUGAUCAGGCCCAUCACAUCAAAUCAACAGACAUUAUGAUAUUUGGUGACUUCAAUGCAAAGACUGGAAAAAGUGAAAAUGGAGUAAGUAUAGUUCAGGAGAAAUAAAUAAGAGAG